UACGAAGGGUCCAGGCGUUGUUCGGAUUUACUGGGCGUAAAGGGCGCGUAGGCGGCGUGUUAAGUCAGCUGUGAAAUCUCCGAGCUUAACUCGGAACGGCCAGCUGAUACUGAUGUGCUAGAGUGCAGAAGGGGCAACCGGAAUUCUUGGUGUAGCGGUGAAAUGCGUAGAUAUCAAGAGGAACACCAGAGGCGAAGGCGGGUUGCUGGGCUGACACUGACGCUGAGGCGCGAAAGCCAGGGGAGCAAACGGG
rnacentral:rRNA from 1 species